ACACUUACCUGGCAGAGGAGAUACCAUGAUCACAAAGGUGGUUUUCCCAGGGCGAGGCUUAUCCAUUGCACUCUGGUUGUGCCGACCCCUGCGAUUUCUCCAAAUGUGGGAAACUCGACUGCAUAAUUUGUGGUAGUGGGGGACUGUGUUCAUGCUUUCCCCUG
ensembl:snRNA U1 U1 spliceosomal RNA